UCGGAUAUGGUGUAACGGCUAACAUUGCCGCCUCUCACCUAAUGUAGUGCGCGGCAGCUCGGGGUUCGAUUCCCCGUAUCCGAA